GUGCCAGCAGCGCGGUAUACGGAGGGUGCAAGCGUUAAUCGGAAUAACUGGGCGUAAAGCGCACGCAGGCGGUCUGUCAAGUCGAAUGUGAAAUCCCCGGGCUCAACCUGGGAACUGCAUUCGAAACUGGCAGGCUAGAGUCUUGUAGAGGGGGGUAGAAUUCCAGGUGUAGCGGUGAAAUGCGUAGAGAUCUGGAGGAAUACCGGUGGCGAAGGCGGCCCCCUGGACAAAGACUGACGCUCAGGUGCGAAAGCGUGGGGAGCAAACAGGAUUAGAUACCCUGGUAGUCC
rnacentral:rRNA from 1 species